UCCCCCGCUUGGCUCCCCGUAGGUGUGCGCCUGCGCCGCCGCCGUCCUUUCCUGGAUUCAGAGGCGGGCUCACACCCUAGACCCCGCCUCUCGCCAGGCUGGCCAAUCCUGGGCUCGGAUCUGGGCUCGUCAGAAUGGCGCCGUGGCGGCCCGGUGCCCGGAUGUCCGCUGCCUGAGGCUCCGCCCCGCCACGGUCUUGCAUCCUUCCGGCUUCGUCGUGGAAGGAGGACUGCGCCUCGUCUUCCUGAAGGCCUCCCAGAAGGCAGCCCAGCCGCUCAUGUGAAGAAUCAGCUUCUCAAGGCCAGAGGCUUUCUUCACAGUGCUUCCUGGACCCAGGGGACUGAGCACUUCUCCCACUUGCUGUAGAGAAUGAACUUCCGCCUUUCCCCAGAUACCAGCUCAGGACGCUCAGGAAGGACAAGGCCCAUCCUCAACCCAGACAUGGCACCUAGGCCCUCAAGCCCCCAAGUGGGAGAGAAGGAACAUGUGGCUCUCCGUAGACAUCACAGGCUACAGUCCUAGAGGAACGCCAUCUGAUGGGCUUGUCCUUCCUUGACCUACGGACCCCAGCAACCCCUCGGCAGACCACUGAAGGACAGUGAAGAAGCAGGAGUGCUCAGCAGUCUUGGGAGUGCUCCCCAACCCUUCCUGAUUCCAGUGAGACAGGAAAGCACAUCUGGCCCUCCUGAGGGGCUGGGAAGAGUCAAGAGACAGUACAGGCUCCUCACAAGCCUGCUCUGUGCUCCUGCACACAAAAGAUCUGGACACCGGCGUCUUAGAGUUAGCAAGUGAGCAUCAGGCUGGGUGUGGUAGUGGAGGCAAAAGGAUCAUGAAUUCAAGACCAAGCCGGGCCACACAGUGAGACCCUGCCUCAAAACUCUAUUGUGUUACAAAUAAAUCACACACACUCACAAACAAGCAACAAGCAAUGAUAUAAAAUGACUCUCUCUCACACGCACACACACACACACACACACACACACACACACACACUGUGUGAAUUUGCUUUUCUGUUACUGUAAUAAGAUGCCUGAUGGAAGCAACUUAAAGGAGAAAGCACUUAUUUAGCUCUCAGUUCCAGGCACAGAACGCAACGGCAGAGAGGGAGGGCAAGGCUGCAGGAACCUGAAGCUGGUCACAUGACAUUCACAGUCAGUAUCCAAGAGAAGUUCAUCAAAUGCAUGCCUACUGGGCUCAUCUAGCCUUCUCUUUUCGUAUACAGGUCAGGGUCUGCUGCCCAGGGAAGGGUGCCACCCAUAGUAGGGAGGUCUUCCCAUUAAGCAAGAUCCCCUCACCCCCUGCCCUGCCCCCACCUCCAGUUAUGCCACAGGCCAACCUAAUCCAGAUAAUCCCUCAUUGAGACACUCUGCCCAGGAAGUUCUAUGUUGUGUGAAGUAGAUAAUUAACACACACACACACACACACACACACACACACACACACACACAC